rnacentral:rRNA from 1 species
AACGUAGGACGCAAGCGUUAUCCGGAGUUACUGGGCGUAAAGCGCGUGUAGGCGGCCCGGUAAGUCCGCUGUGAAAGUCGGGGGCUCAACCCUCGGAUGCCGGUGGAUACUGUCGGGCUUGAGUACGGAAGAGGCGAGUGGAAUUCCUGGUGUAGCGGUGAAAUGCGCAGAUAUCAGGAGGAACACCAAUUGCGAAGGCAGCUCGCUGGGACGUUACUGACGCUGAGACGCGAAAGCGUGGGGAGCAAACAGG